ensembl:lncRNA
UCUAGAUGUGAGUUGGACUUCCCUGGUGGCUCAGAAGGAACCCUGAGCACUGAAGCUUUUGAAAUACAAUGGUGGAGAAGACUCUUGAGAAUCCCUUGGACAGGAGGAAGAUCAAACCAGUGAAUCCUAAAAGAAAUCAAUCCUGAAUAUUCACUGUAAUGACUGAUGCUGAAACUCCAAUACUUUGGCCACAUGAUGUGAAGAGCCAACUCAUUGGAAAAAACCCCGAAUCUGGGAAAGAUUGAGGGCAGGAGGAGAAGGGGGCAAGAGAGGAUGAGAUGAUUGGAUGGCAUCACUGACUCAAUGGACAUGAAUUUUAACAAACUCUGGGAGAUAGUGAAGGACAGGGAAGCCUGGCGUGCUGCAGUCUGUGGGGUUGUAAGAGUUGGACAUGACUGAGGGACUAAACGGCAACAAACUCUUAUAUAGCUCAAAGGGCCUGGGAUCCUUUAACACAGAGAGAACAUUCCCCACACAUCAUUCAGAACAGCUUAAAAUGCCGGAAAUCAGUAGUUACCCAUUGCUGAGUGUGAUUCUUAUGUGUGUUUAGUUUUACUAGCCACCAUCCUGGGUCAGUAGGCACUUUAAAAUUUGUUGGUUUGUAGACAAAGCAAAUAAAACUCAUCUGUUUAUAACUGUUUUGAGAAUGAGAACUGGUGUAAGAUUUCCACUGGCAAAGUGUUUUAGAAGCCAGGUUGGGCCCUCUGUGGCUUUUCAUGGACUAUUUGUUGCCACAGACAGUUCACCUUAUGAUGAGCUGGGCCAAUACCCUCAAGAAGAAAAAGCAUGGACACCGUCCCCUUCUUUCUUCUGUUUCCUCCCCCUCUCCAUAAG